rnacentral:tRNA from 1 species
GCGGCUGUGGCGGAAUGGCAGACGCGCCGGUUUGAGAGACCGGUGAGGGAGCACCUCAUGUGGGUUCGACCCCCACCAGCCGCA